CAGGAGGGCAACGUUGGAGUUACACUGACUCUUCAGGCCUAUGAGGUUUGGUGCAACCUGAAGGUGCCAGCUGACAUCUAUAGGCAUCUGUUGGAGCAAGACAGCAUUCUGAUGCUGCAUCCCCAUGAGGGAAGCUAACUGCAGGGGAACAGCAGAGAAAGAAGAGGAAAGAAGGCAUUAUCAUCACUUUCCAUCGCUCCACAGAAGGAAAAAAAGAAAUAUGAGAAAACAUUGACAAAGCUUGAACAACUGCCUACAGCAUAAUGAUUUUCUGCAUUUUUUUUUGUCAGGUGUUCCUGUGCUUUAUCAGUACUUACGUAGUGAUUCCCUUGAAACCACAUAGAUUAUUAACCUGGUGUUGGGUACAGAAGAGCAAUAACUCAUUUUUUAGCUUUCGGUCUUUAAUUCUAUUUUUUCUUUUCUCAAAAGCUCUGUGUUCAGUCUGUCUCUUGUCACAUGUAGAAAUAAUAAAGCAGAUAUAUGCGUGGGGUAAGGGCUACAAGCUUGGUUUGUAGGUCACCUUCAGUACAGGUGACCUUUAGGCAAAUGACCUACUAGGUUCUUCACAUCUACCACAUCAGCUGAUGGGGAAAGAGCUGUGGACAGCUGGAGCCCAGAGCCCAUGUGACAGCGACCAAAAUGUUCCUCUGCUGAGUGGCUGGCACCCACAGGCCCUGUCCCUUGGACUCGGGCUGAUUCAGCAGCCUACUCAAACAUGGCAGUGAUUGUUCACCCCACAGCCAGUGUCUGUUGCCAGCAGGAUUCUUCAGAAGACACCCAGGACGCUUGGAGGUGACACUCCCUGGCUUCUGGCAGCUUAGAGACUGCUCCCACAGCUUUGCUGCAAACCUUCCACCUCUUCCCAUCUCUAUCUUUCUAAUUCUUAAGUCUCCGUGUUUUCCCUGACGUGGAUGGGUGUGAUGUUUUCAUGUUCUGGCCCUGCUGCUCACAAAGAGGGAACAGACAUCGAAGGUCUCUCUGUGCUGUCUGCCUCUGAAAGGAUUGCUCUCAAAUGGGAAAGAAAAUCAUGUACAAGUGGCAUUUCUUGAAUUGUGGAGCUACUGGAUGAUGUUCUUCAGGUCUUUCAGGUUAGGGGAGAAAGGAGAGACUGAAAGUAGGGAAAUCAGUGAGGAGGAAGUAAAGAAAAUAAUAUCCAUGAUGAAUAUAGGCUGCAAGAGAGAGCAGUGCUUUUAAGGAAAUGGGAGAGUGAGCAACAAAAAAUAUGGAAACAAAAGCCACAAUAAAACACUUCUAGAAACC
rnacentral:lncRNA from 7 species